UGAUGAAUCAACCAAUUGCAUCACCUUUCCAAACAAUGGUCAUUUCUCCCAUCCCUAAAUAAUGGAGGUUUUUCUCCAAACCUUGUUGCUAGAAUUAGGGGCAGGCAUGUGAGUGGAUUUGGGUGCAGGGAAGUGGAUAUUUAAGAGACAUGUUCAGUCAGGAAAAAUGUGCUGUUUCUAGAUUUUGGGAAGAUUAGUUACAAUGUUACAGAAUAUUAAAAAUUUGAUUGAAUUACAUCAUUAAUUAUUCAAUGUUGUAGGAUAGGGAAUAUUAAAAUGUAAUAUUAUUCAGUUGUUUCAUCUUCUGUAUUACUGAUAAAUACUUCUUUAAUAUUAUUGCUAACUUAAAAAAAAAUCUUUAUUGAGGAUACAAACUUAUUAGAAAUUGAUUGAUUCAUGUAACCAAAAUACCAUCACUCUUGAUUUCAUACAUAAAGAAUGGUCAUGAGCAUGCUUAAAAAGGUGCAAUGCUGGUGAAACAAUCGAUGGAAAUUAAAAAGUUCACUGGUAUAAAUAACAAAAUUUAAGAUUGAUAAUGUAAAUAUAUAUAUUUCUAAUCCAAAUUUAGAACCCAGCACUAAAAUCAUAUGUUUCACACAGUUUUUAAUGCCUCCUCCCUUAAACAAACUCUAAGAAGCAACUAAACCCCACUUUCAAUUAUCAUGAGAUUCAUGUGAGAACCACAUCAUAUUCAAAUUUCAAAUAAUUCAAACCACCAGUGGUCCUAAGAAUCCACAACCCAAGAAUCAAAAAUGUAAAGUCUCAGAGACAUUUCUAACUCGCAAUAAAUAUGUGUCAAAAAAAAAAAAAUCAGAGAUGGAUGUGCAUAUGCCAUAAAACUAGCUAAAAGGGAUGUUCGCCCUUGUUCCUGUUCUUAGCAAAGGCACGACACAUGCAUGCUAGCAUGCAAAAGCUGUGCGUUCACUAUUUAAGGAAUCUAGUCCAACAUAUUACAAAUUCAAGCACUAAUUAGGCACUUCACAAGGAUUGUAGGGGGUCUAGGCUUACCAAGCAACCAUCACCAUGUGCUCACAGGAUUCUGCAAUAAGCCUAUGGUUCCAUUCUACUGGAUUUUUCCUUUGCCUUUAAAAUAAUAAUUUGAUGUUUCAUGUAGCUAAAAACUUUAUGAAAUAGGUAAUAAAAUAAGCAACAUGUUGCAUUACUUUAGUACUAGACAAUGUGAACAAGGUUAGAAAAUUGGGAAGUACAAGAAACAUUAAGCUUCAUUGGAUAUAUCCAUAUGUUGUCAUAAGU
rnacentral:lncRNA from 1 species